CCAGGAUGGAGUGCAGUGGCAUGAUCUCAGCUCCCUGCAAUCUCUGCCUUCCUGGCUCAAGCCAUCCUCUCACAUCAAGCUACUGAGUAGCUGAGACUACAGCUCGACUCUGAUUUGAAGAGUAGGAUGGUUAAGGACAUCAGAAAGAAUUUCACAGAGAAAAGGGUCGAAACAGAACAUGCAAAACCACAAAGAGUCUCAGUCUUUCGCCCUCACCCAGGCAGGAGUGCAGUGAUGCAAUCUUGGCUCUCUGCAGCCUCCACCUCCUGGGCUCAAGUGAUCCUCCAAUCUCCACCUCCCGAGUAGCUGGGACUACAGGUAUGCGCCACCAUGCCCAGCUAAUUUUCGUGUGUGUGUGUGUGUGUGUGUGUGUGUGUGUGUGUAUGUGUGUGUAAGUGGGAUUUCGCCAUGUUGCCCAGGCUGGUCUUGAAGUCCUGGGCUCAUGUGAUCCACUGUCUCAGCCUCGUAAUAUACUGGGAUUACAG